rnacentral:rRNA from 1 species
UGGGGAAUUUUGGACAAUGGGGGCAACCCUGAUCCAGCAAUGCCGCGUGUGUGAAGAAGGCCUUCGGGUUGUAAAGCACUUUUGUCCGGAAAGAAAACGCCGUGGUUAAUACCCGUGCGGAUGACGGUACCGGAAGAAUAAGCACCGGCUAACUACGUGCCAGCAGCCGCGGUAAUACGUAGGGUGCAAGCGUUAAUCGGAAUUACUGGGCGUAAAGCGUGCGCAGGCGGUCCGCUAAGACAGAUGUGAAAAUCCCCCGGGCUUAACCUGGGAACUGCAUUUGUGACUGGCGGGCUAGAGUAUGGCAGAGGGGGGUAAAUUCCACGUGUAGCAGUGAAAUGCGUAGAGAUGUGGAGAAUACCGAUGCGAAGGCAGCCCCUGGGCCAAUACUGACGCUCAUGCACGAAAGCGUGGGGGAGC